AAAAAACAUCAAAUGCAGCUAUUCGCUGCUAUACUUCUGGAAGAGCAAGGGAGAUGAAUGGUUUCACUGGCAGUCUGGCUGCUUUUGUAAUGCCUUGGAAUGCCACAGAGCUCUUGGAAACCAGAAGGGUGGCACACGGCUGCCAGAGUGUGUCUUGUGUGGACUAGGAGAAGUCAGCUGAAAUGGCAGGCUGGCUCACACUGAGCUCUUAGCCGCUGUCGCAGUAAGGGAUGGAAGCAGAAGGUGGAAAGCUGGAGAAGCUCUGAUCUCUCACUGGAGAGAGGGGAGGCUGUGAAGGCGCUCGCUGAAUGCCGGCAGAGCGGAGCGAGCCAAAAUGUGGAGCCAGCCCCCAGCAGCACAGCAGCAGGGAGUUCUCAGGAGGAUUCCUGCAGCAGCCUACUGCUUUUAAAAGCUGGUCAAUAAACAUUAGAUAAAAAUGGA